AUUGAACGCUGGCGGAAUGCUUUACACAUGCAAGUCGAGCGGCAGCGCGGGGCAACCUGGCGGCGAGCGGCGAACGGGUGAGUAAUACAUCGGAACGUACCCAGUUGUGGGGGAUAGCCCGGCGAAAGCCGGAUUAAUACCGCAUACGACCUGAGGGUGAAAGUGGGGGAUCGCAAGACCUCACGCAGUUGGAGCGGCCGAUGGCGGAUUAGCUAGUUGGUAGGGUAAAGGCCUACCAAGGCGACGAUCCGUAGCGGGUCUGAGAGGACGACCCGCCACACUGGAACUGAGACACGGUCCAGACUCCUACGGGAGGCAGCAGUGGGGAAUUUUGGACAAUGGGGGCAACCCUGAUCCAGCCAUUCCGCGUGAGUGAAGAAGGCCUUCGGGUUGUAAAGCUCUUUCGGCAGGAACGAAACGGCGGGCUCUAACAUAGCCUGCUAAUGACGGUACCUGAAGAAGAAGCACCGGCUAACUACGUGCCAGCCGCCGCCGUAA
rnacentral:rRNA from 1 species